CCUACGGGGGGCUGCAGUGGGGAAUAUUGGACAAUGGGGGGAACCCUGAUCCAGCCAUGCCGCGUGUGUGAAGAAGGCCCUCGGGUUGUAAAGCACUUUCAGUGAGGAAGAACGCCUGGUGGUUAAUACCCAUCAGGAAAGACAUCACUCACAGAAGAAGCACCGGCUAACUCCGUGCCAGCAGCCGCGGUAAUACGGAGGGUACGAGCGUUAAUCGGAAUUACUGGGCGUAAAGCGCGCGUAGGUGGCUUGAUAAGCCGGUUGUGAAAGCCCCGGGCUCAACCUGGGAACGGCAUCCGGAACUGUCAAGCUAGAGUGCAGGAGAGGAAGGUAGAAUUCCCGGUGUAGCGGUGAAAUGCGUAGAGAUCGGGAGGAAUACCAGUGGCGAAGGCGGCCUUCUGGACUGACACUGACACUGAGGUGCGAAAGCGUGGGUAGCAAACAGGAUUAGAUACCCUUGUAGUC
rnacentral:rRNA from 1 species